GGUUCUUAAGCUCAGCUUUGAACAGACGUUCAGGUCCUCCAUGUAUGCUGGGAAAUUACUGUGACCUCCUUUAAUCUUGGGAAGAUAUGUACUGGCUUGGUUUGUUUUUGAUGAUCCUUUUCUGCCUGUCCUGUGAGAGGGGAAGGACUUUGUGUGUUUGCUCUUCUUGUGAGAGUGGAUUCCUUUUGCUUGCUGUUUCUUAUCUCCGUGAUCAAAAACCUUCUAGUCCAAGGACCAAACAUACUGGUUCUUCAAAAUGAGGUUCCUGGACACAGCAGUACCACACAUUGUUAUUGGUCUGCAACAAGUUUAAAGUAAGACAGAAGUUCAGUGAGAGCAAGUAAUUAAAGUCACAUUGCUAGCGAGUGAUUGAGCUGAAGUCAAAGCCAGAUUUGUCAAAGCCGUUGGUGUUCUACUGUUGAAAUCAUAAUCAUUGCUGGAGAAAUAGAGGGAGUUCCUCUCUUAGAGAUGUUAACCGGAAGUGGUGAGCGGGGCUGGAGAAGGCCAACUCCCAUUGCUCUGGACACUGCGUUGGGUCCCCUCCUUGGAGAUAUUGGGAAAAGGCACUGGGCAAAGCAAGGCUGGCAGAAGAAGAUGAAGAGGCAGCUCUCUUUGUUCAAGACCAGGAAAAGAGGGAAAUAAGGGGUGAUAAACAAUUUGCCUUUACUGUUUCCUGUGCAGUCUGUCUCAAGUGGACUUAUCUAGGGUCUAGACCACACUGGAAAUCUGAAGGUCAAGAUAACAGAGAUAUCUGCGGCCAACAUCUAACUGUAAAAUGUGUAUCUUGAUCUACUCUGGGUUCCAAUAUAAUCCAGCACCUAAGCAAGGAACCAUACGAAGGUGUUCAUGGGGUAGCAAAAUAGCCAAAAACUCUUCUAAGGGAAGGACAGGAAAGUGGG
ensembl:lncRNA